UCCGCCACUUGCACUCCAGCCUGGGCGACAAGAGCGAGACUCCGUCUCAAAAAAAAAGAAAGUGGAAAGAUUAAACACAGCUCUGGACAACAGAACUUGAACACCAUCACCUAUGAAGUAAACCUGGGCUUCUGGCAGACCUACCUAAAGUACCAUUGAGGGAGAUGUUAAAAUACAUAUCAAAAUCACCAUGCAGACACCAGAGUCCUGAGACUGUCAGAGAAUUUCUCACAGCAAUGAAAAGCCACAAGUUGACCAAAAAGCACGGACUUCUUGGUUACAGCCUGUAGUGGUGGCUGAGAUUGUGAGGCCUGGGUGAAGACGUGAGUAGGAGGGUCAGAGGAUGAAAGUCAGCACCAUGAGCGUGCCAGAGCCUUGUGGGAGAAGAGAAAAUCCAGAAGGAGAUGAAGAAGGGAGAAUUGGAAGGAUCAGAAAAGAAUUGAGAAAGAAGGUGUCAUGGAAGCCCUGAGGGCAGGCAGUUUCAAGGAGGGAAUGAUCAACAGUGUCACAUGUCACCAACAGGAUGGAGUGGGACCGAGGAGCAGCCACUAUGUGUGGAGGACACCAGGCCCUUGAAGCAAGAACAGUUUUGAUCCCCUGCAGCUUUUAGUCCUUGCAGUCCCUCUUCUCCCUCUUCACGUGGAGACCUCUCAGAUGGGAACUGAGAAAACUACCCGGAAUGAACUCAUCUCCCUUCCAGUCAUUUCUGACUGACUGCUGUUUUCCCCUCACCGUGGUCACGAUGGAACUGUCUCAGUCUUGCUGGAGGUUUGGGCAGCAGUUUCUGAGGGUCUUUCCGUUUCCCUCCUGGAGUUUCAGCCUCUCCACGUGUUUGUCUUCCCAGCCGGUGGCCAUUCUCCAGUCUCCCUCCGGACCCUCCCUCCUCAGGCAGCAGUUGCUUUUUUACUUCUGUGUUAUCAAGAGGCUGUUUGCUCCACAAUCAUUCCUCAGUCCCCUGAGACCAGUUGUCAUUCUGCUGAACUUUCCACUGUCAUUCCACUGCACAGGCCACCAAUGACUUCUUGGUUAGCAAAUCCAAUGACUUCUACAUUGACACUGUCAACCUAUUUUUCUGUCUCUGUCGCCCAGGCUGGAGUGCAGUGGUGUGAUCAUAGCUCACUGCAGCCUCAGACUCCUGG